rnacentral:lncRNA from 1 species
CUGCUUCUUGGUGAUUUUUUUUCCGGCGCUCCGGCCAUGCACGCGGCUGCGCGUCUGCCACGCCCGCUAGGUGUUCGGCGAUUUGCCUCGGCGAUGGACUCCGACGACGUGGAGGCAUUCGCAACGCUAAUGGAAGAGGAAGCCGAUGCCGACACCCAGGAUGAAGAGCACCUCAUGGUCCUCGCCGCUCUGGUGAGCCUGUUCGCGAGCAAUGCAAACCCGAGGCGAGGUGGCUCGGCGUCGGGUCGGCUGAAGGCAAAGCAGGGGCAUCGACUCGAAGGCUAUUGCUUGCUCUACACCGACUACUUCGCCGACGCUCCUCUGCACGGUGACAAACUCUUUCGGCGCCGUUAUCUUAUGAGCCGGAAGCUCUUCCUUAGGGAGUUCGAAAACUACUUCAAGUGCAAAAAGGAUUACACCGGCACACUUGGAUUCACCUCACUCCAGAACUGCACGACAACUACGAGGAUGCUUGCAUACGGAGCUCCCGGUGAUAUUCUGGAAGACUAUGGACGCAUGGCCGAGUCCACCACCGUUGAAUCUUUGUACAAAUUCUACAUGGCAGUUGUGGCAGUAUUUGGACUUCAAUACUUGCGAUCACCCAAUGUUGAAGACACUCCUCGGAUCCUAGCACCGAAUUCAGCAAGAGGAAUUCCUGAGAUGCUUGAAACUAUCGACUGCAUGCAUUGAAAAUGGAAAAAAUAUGCAUUUACUUGGCAGGGGGUGUACAAAGGCGUCAAAGAAGGUUGUAGUGUGGUACUUGAGGUAGUGGCCACACAUAACCUCUGGACUUGGCACUCCUUCUUUGGUAUACCAGGAACUCACAAUGACAUCAACAGACUGCAAUGCUCGAAUGCCUUUGCAAAGCUUGUUGAAGGUCAUGCUCCCCCGAUUAACUAUGAGGUCAAUGGGCACCACUACAACAAGGGAUGCUGCCUAGCAGAUGGCAUCUAUCCGAGAUGGUCCACAUUUGUGAAGACUAUCUCAAACCCUGCACCAGGAGGCAAGAACUUCUACUUUGCCAAGUGUCAAGAAGCUUGUAGGAAGGAUGUCGAGCGAGCAUUUGGUGUGCUCCAAUCUCGUUUUUCUAUUGUUCGAUACUCCGCUCAGACGUGGUCGAAAGAUCAAAUGUGAGAAGACAUGACUUGGUGUGUCAUCUUGCACAACAUGAACAUUGAGAGCGAGCGGGAAGAGCCCGUCUUUGACAUUGAACCAUAUUACAGGCAGGGUCCCCUUGCCCAAGUUGAUCACCAGCUACCGGCAACUUCGAGUGCCUUCAUCAACAUGUGUCAGGAGAUUCGAGACCCACAGGUGCAUCAACAACUAUAAACCGAUUUGGUGGAGUACCUAUGGAGGCUUAAGGGCAACGCCUAGCUCGAUGUGUGAUGAAUUAUGAGUUUUUAUUUGUUGAACUAUUUUGAUUUGUUAAACUAUUUUUGAUUUGUAUUGAUUUCUGUGAUGAACUAUGUGAUAGAAAAAUAAAUGAUUUGUUUAAUUUGUGUUAAAGCAUGCUGAAUAUGGAUCAAAAUUGGUCUCAUUUUGCGUCGAAAGUGAACCAAUUUGCGCUGAAAGUGGGCCAAUUAGCACCGAAAAUGUGCAGAAAUCAGCGGGUGGGGGCGACCUUGGGGGACGGCUGGGAACCCGAGCCUCCCACGUCGAUUUUUCCGCCGACGCGCCUCCAGGAGGCGCUAUUUUACGCCCCGGAAGAUCGAACGGCUGGAGAUGCUCUUAGGGAACCACAUCAUGAUGCAGCUGCUUAUUAAGGAUGUAGUUCUCCACAGCAAUCAUUUGAAACAACUGCUCCUUUCUGUUUGUCUUUCUAAGCUUAAAUGACGUUUAGUUUUGGGGAUCUAAUUUGGACGUUGGAACAUCAGGGCUAAAAUUACACGCUGUAUGUAUCGCAUGAUCGCAAUUGACUCUCAGUUUCCAUGCGUUUGUGCAAUAAUAAUUAAUAAGCUGAAGCUCAAAUUAAUACUUUCUUGUUCUGUUUGCAACAAAGCAGAAGGAGUCUCCACUGAAGGAAUGAAUACUGAGAGUGACAAAUGAUAAGUAGGUGUAUUGGUCUUUGCCAAAUGGGUAUACUCAAUAUAUUUAGAGAUAUAUUAACAAAACAUGCCCAGCAAUCGCUUGGAUGCGAUGCGGACUUAGGUAGGUAAAACAUCAGAUAUUAAAAGUGGCAUGCUUAAAAGGUGUAAAGGCAGCUGCCGUCGUCGCUCCUUGCCGUUGGGUCGUAGUUCUUGGCAUUUUGGUCGGUGCAACCUUCCGGCACGGGCAAAGUACCUUGCUGUGCUCCUUUACCUGCAAUUUAAUUGUUUUGGACGACGUGAUGAGAAGAUGAGCUUGAUAUGCCGGCGGAAGAGCAGGUAAGAAAAACAGGCCUCCACUCCCUUUUUUUUUCCGAAGUAAGAAAGUGAGAAAGAAGUAUGCAUGUAAAGUAGUUGCUGAAAGUAUAAGAAGAUUGUGCGUAGUUCACCUCCUCCUAUGCAGCAAGAGAUGGUGGGUGUGUAUGGAGAAUUUUCUAACCGUAGAAGGAACCAGUCUUCAUCGCAUCCUGGUUAGCAUCACCCAGAGCUGCCUGGCUCAUGUAGGUGUCAGCAAGCUGCACACGCUUGACAUUGUCCUGCUCCUGGACGAGCAUGUGCCCGUACUCUAGCAGCUUCUCGACUGUCAUCUUUGGCUGCUCGAAGGUCACGGGCCCGUCCCGCGAGUUCACCAGCCUCUUGCCAAUGUUCUCGAUUCCGGUAGAGCCGACCCACUUGCGCACCUCAUCGUCGUACACCCGAGCACGCAGAGCACCGAAAAAGUCUGUAUCGGAUCGAUGCAUGAUACUUUGUUAAUUACUGAUAUACAACUUGUCUGCCCUGAUGAAUAUAUAUAUAUAUAUUUGGAAACAAGAGAAAUAUACCAAUGGAUUGUCCUGGGAAGGUGUCGACGAUCUUGACGACAGACUCGUCACUGACAUUGUCGGUCUGGAAGAUACCCUUGCAGACACCGAUACGGUCGUCACGGGUGGGAGCCCAGUAGAACUUCUCCAUACGACCAUCACGGAUCAGAGGAGCGUAGAGCGUCGAGAAAUCGUUACCGGUGACGACGAUGGGCACACGGGGGUUCUCCUCCUUGUUGUACAUGCCAGGGAGCUGCACGUUGGUGGGGGCAUCGGCGAUGUUCAUCAGGGUGGCGUUCACCAUCUGGUUGUUGACGGUGUACUGCGUGGUUCCGCCCAUCCUACCCGCACCAGCGUCAAGAUCGUUGAUGAAGAGGCAGCACAUCUUACCCUUCUUGAUCAUGUCUGCAGCCUCACGGUACCGCUGCCUGAUGAGCUUGGCUGGCUCUCCAGCGUUCCCACUCUCCAGCUCUCCGGCACUCAUCAUGAUGGGGCUGUGGCAAAAAGCACAGGUCAUUAUCUAUUAUUACUAUUAUCUUAUACUCCCUCUGUUCUUAAAUAUAAGUCUUUUAAGCGAUUUCAUCAAGAAACUACAUACAAAACAAAAAGAAUGAAUCUACACUCUAAAGUAUGUCUAUAUACAUCCGUAUGUAGUCCUUUAGUGAAAUCUCUAAAAUGACUUAUAUUAUGGAACGGAGGGAGUAGUAUUUCUUUAGGGAGGAAGUAGAUGAAUGUAAAUUCUUACUUGAUGCCCAUCUUGGCGAACACAAGCUCACACUGGAAUGAUUUUCCUUGACCCUUGCCUCCCCAGAUACCCAAGAUGAGUGGGAUCUGAAUUUCGAUUCAAGGUCAGUUUCAGAAUCAGAAUGAUUCAUUUUAUUGCUGCUUCUGCUAAUAAUCAAUUAAAUUAAAUAACGAUGUCUGCAUGCAUCGAUUAAUUCAACCUCCUUUUUUCAAAAAAAGAAAAGAANNNNNNNNNNNNNNNNNNNNNNNNNNNNNNNNNNNNNNNNNNNNNNNNNNNNNNNNNNNNNNNNNNNNNNNNNNNNNNNNNNNNNNNNNNNNNNNNNNNNNNNNNNNNNNNNNNNNNNNNNNNNNNNNNNNNNNNNNNNNNNNNNNNNNNNNNNNNNNNNNNNNNNNNNNNNNNNNNNNNNNNNNNNNNNNNNNNNNNNNNNNNNNNNNNNNNNNNNNNNNNNNNNNNNNNNNNNNNNNNNNNNNNNNNNNNNNNNNNNNNNNNNNNNNNNNNNNNNNNNNNNNNNNNNNNNNNNNNNNNNNNNNNNNNNNNNNNNNNNNNNNNNNNNNNNNNNNNNNNNNNNNAGGUACCUUGAUGUUGGGCAGGGUCAUGAAGUUUUUGGAGAGAUGGACAACAAGCUUGUCCAUGAAAGCAGGAGCGAUGUAGAAGCCUCCCAUGGUGUUGUCGAAGUCGUACUUCCGCAGGCCCUGGCUGACGUACUCGUAGGAGCUGAGGACGGCCUCGUGGGUGCCGUCGCCCGUGGGCGCCUGGAAGAGCGAGUCCACGAUGCCCUUCCCUCUGGUGAUGUCCUGCUGGUCGUCGGAGAUAUCGUACGCAAGACCCUUCCACUUGUCGGUGUUCCUCUUCUCGUCGAUGUUCUCCGCUGCCAUGACUGUGAACCUGUUGGCCUUGGAGCUCUUGCCAUGGUAGUUCACGGCCGAGGUCACCUGCUUCUUGAGCUUCUUCCCGAGGAAGUUGGUCGGCGUAGAAGCCUGUAUACAUUACAUUACAUUACAUAUACACACAUGAGAUGCCGCUGAAGACACUGAUAGGAUAUCAUCACUAAGCAAGAGAUGCAAUCAAUCAAUCGAUCGAUCAGUGUGUGGUACGCACCGGAGCCCCGACGGUGGAGGAGAAGGCAGCAGCCAUCUCUGUGCUGCUUGGUCGACCUUGCUAGCAACGGUGGAUGCGCGCGGCUGUGCUGGUGAUCAGUGAUGAAUGACUGCUGCUGCUCAAAGUAUAGAGGCCGAGCUAUGUGACGCCUUAAAUACACGUGGAUUGGCAUAUUGCUGCUCUGCUGUGGGGAGCUUGGAGGAGGAGGCGGCAUACACACACCCCUGCUUGUGGAUCAGCCUCCCGAUCCCCCAGAGGCCACACGCUGGAGAUUGGGUUCUGAGCGUCUUGGCCGGCCGGUUGGAUGACUUGGACCGUCAAGACCAAACGCUGCAGCUGCAGCUGCAGAUACGUCUGCUGGCCAUCAAUUCCAUGGCCUUCCACGGCCACAGAAUCUAACCAUUCAUGCUCAAAUCAUCUCCCAUUUCUUCCGUGCCUUUCAUUUUUUCCUUUCACUCGGUCGCCCGUAUAUACUAUCUUGUUUAUUAGCCAAGCCAUGUCAUUGCAUAACCACAAAAAAAGGGUCUCUCGUUGCUUGUUGGAUGAGGCACCCAAGAUUGUAUUCUAGUUCCAAGUACCACAAAUUUGUUGCUGCCAUACAUAUACUGGUUUGUUGAUAACCAUCAAGCUAGGGAUGUCAUUUGGCACCACACAAAUCAAGUCCUGGUUGACAUCAAGCACAUGGGUUUGUACUUUUGUCUACUCCAAUAAAUAUUGCCACUUCGGUAAAAAAAAAUGAAGCGUAUUAAGAGAAAAGGUAGCCAUGCAGUUUUGCUUUGAUGAAAAGAUUAUAGAACGUGUCUAAUGUUUUCAUGUAAAUGUAAUUCGUGUUGCCUAGCUCAAGUUCCCUGCUGGUAUUCUCAUUGUUUGGGUCUAGUACAGACCAUUAAUUGAUCAUUACGAUGAAUGCGAGCCGUUUGGCUCGCACAAUCUUUGUCCAAUACACCUUCUAGUGAUGUUGUCCUUGUUAAUCAACUUUGUGGUGCAAAUUGGGGUUUCCGUAAUCCGUCAAAGGGAAAAUAUGUAUGUAUGUGAUGAGUCAUGACCCCCCACAUCCACAGUACUCGUACCUAAUCAACAAGCUUCAGAUGAUUUCCACAUAUGUGCUAAUCUUCCGACAAGUGCUAAUAUCAAGAGAUAUAUAGGUUGUUGGGACUUGGGACCCUAGCUUGCAUCCAUUGGAGAAAUGAUUAAGCGGAAAAUGACGAUUUAAGAACAUAUACAAUUCCUUUCUCUUUCAAGAAGAGACUUACAAUUGGGUUACCUGUGCGGCGAUGAAUCAAAAAGUUUGAGUGGAUUUCGGGUCCAAAAUAGUCCAACAUAUAUAUAGUGCAUGCAUGCAUCUUAAGUAGAGUAGGACCUUCUACUUGCCGUAGAAGGCACCGGUCUUCAUGGCGUCGUCGUUGGCUUGGCCGAGCGCCGCCUCGCUGAGGUACUUGUCGGCGAGCUGCACACGCUUGACGUUCUCCUGCUCCUGGACCAGCAUGUGGCCGUACUCCAUGAGCUUCUCUAUGGUCAUCUUGGGCUGGUCGAACGUGGGCGGCCCCUCCCUGGAGUUGACGAGGCGCUUGGAGAUGUUCUCCACGCCGAUCUCGCCGACCCACUUGCGCACCUCGUCGUCGUACACCCGUGCCCGCAGCGCGCCGAAGAAGUCGAUGGACUGCCCCGGGAAGGUGUCCACCAGCCUCACCACGGCCUCGUCCGGGACGUUGUCGGUGCGGAAGAUGCCCUUGCACACGCCGAUGCGGUCCUCGCGGGUGGGCGCCCAGUAGAACUUCUCCAUGCGCCCGUCACGGAUCAGGGGAGCGUACAGCGUCGAGAAGUCGUUGCCGGUGACGAUGAUGGGCACGCGGGGGUUCUCCUCCUUGUUGUACAUCCCCGGGAGCUGCACGUUGGUGGGCGCGUCCGCGAUGUUCAUCAGGGUGGCGUUCACCAUCUGGUUGUUCACCGUGUACUGCGUCGUCCCGCCCAUCCGGCCCGCGCCGGCGUCCAGGUCGUUGAUGAAGAGGCAGCACAUCUUGCCCUUGUUGAUAAUGUCGGCCGCCUCGCGGUACCUCUGCCGGAUCAGCUUGGCCGGCUCGCCGGCGUUGCCGCUCUCCAGCUCACCGGCGCUCAUCAUGAUGGGGUUGAUGCCCAUCUUGGCGAACACCAGCUCACACUGGAACGACUUGCCCUGUCCCUUGCCUCCCCAGAUACCCAGGAUGAGAGGAACCUUGAUGUUGGGGAGUGUCAUGAAGUUCUUGGCGAGGUGGACGAUGAGCUUGUCCAUGAAUGCCGGCGCGAUGUACAGCCCGUCCAUGGUGUUGUCGAAGUCGUACUUCCGCAGGCCCUGGCUGAUGUACUCGUAGGAGCUUAGGAUGGCCUCGUGGGUGCCGUCGCCCAUGGGGGCCUGGAACAGGGAGUCCACGAUGCCUUUCCCCCGAGUGAUGUCCUGCUGGUC